UACAGAGGGGGCAAGCGUUGUCCGGACUUACUGGGUACGUAAAGGGCGCGUAGGCGGCUUAUCAAGUCAGGCGUGAAAUUCCCGGGCUCAACCUGGGGCUGGCGCUUGAUGACUGAUUGGCUGAAUGCGGAAGAGGAUAGUGGAAUUCCCAGUGUAGAGGUGAAAUUCGUAGAUAUUGGGAAGAACACCGGUGGCGGAAGGCGGCUACUCUGGCCCGUAAUUGGACGACUGAGGCGGCGAAAGCGAUGGGGAGCAAACUAGGG
rnacentral:rRNA from 1 species